rnacentral:rRNA from 1 species
GUGUCAGCAGCCGCGGUAAUACGUAGGGUGCAAGCGUUAAUCGGAAUUACUGGGCGUAAAGCGUGCGCAGGCGGUUUUGUAAGACAGUGGUGAAAUCCCCGGGCUCAACCUGGGAACUGCCAUUGUGACUGCAAAGCUAGAGUGCGGCAGAGGGGGAUGGAAUUCCGCGUGUAGCAGUGAAAUGCGUAGAUAUGCGGAGGAACACCGAUGGCGAAGGCAAUCCCCUGGGCCUGCACUGACGCUCAUGCACGAAAGCGUGGGGAGCAAACAGGAUUAGAAACCCCGGUAGUCC